GAGUUUGAUCAUGGCUCAGGAUGAACGCUGGCGGCGUGCCUAAUACAUGCAAGUCGAGCGAACGGACGAGAAGCUUGCUUCUCUGAUGUUAGCGGCGGACGGGUGAGUAACACGUGGAUAACCUACCUAUAAGACUGGGAUAACUUCGGGAAACCGGAGCUAAUACCGGAUAAUAUUUUGAACCGCAUGGUUCAAAAGUGAAAGACGGUCUUGCUGUCACUUAUAGAUGGAUCCGCGCUGCAUUAGCUAGUUGGUAAGGUAACGGCUUACCAAGGCAACGAUGCAUAGCCGACCUGAGAGGGUGAUCGGCCACACUGGAACUGAGACACGGUCCAGACUCCUACGGGAGGCAGCAGUAGGGAAUCUUCCGCAAUGGGCGAAAGCCUGACGGAGCAACGCCGCGUGAGUGAUGAAGGUCUUCGGAUCGUAAAACUCUGUUAUUAGGGAAGAACAUAUGUGUAAGUAACUGUGCACAUCUUGACGGUACCUAAUCAGAAAGCCACGGCUAAC
rnacentral:rRNA from 1 species